CCAGACUCCUACGGGAGGCAGCAGUGGGGGAUAUUGCACAAUGGGGGAAACCCUGAUGCAGCGACGCCGCGUGUGGGAAGACGGUCCUCUGGAUUGUAAACCACUGUCCCCAGGGACGAAAAUGACGGUACCUGGGGAGGAAGCUCCGGCUAACUACGUGCCAGCAGCAGCGGUAAUACGUAGGGGGCAAGCGUUAUCCGGAUUUACUGGGUGUAAAGGGAGCGUAGACGGCGAUGCAAGUCUGAAGUGAAAGGCGGGGGCCCAACCCCCGGACUGCUUUGGAAACUGUAUGGCUGGAGUGCAGGAGAGUUAAGUGGAAUUCCUAGUGUAGCGGUGAAAUGCGUAGAUAUUAGGAGGAACACCAGUGGCGAAGGCGGCUUACUGGACUGUAACUGACGUUGAGUCUCGAAAGCGUGGGGAGCACACAGGAUUAGAUACCCGGGUAU
rnacentral:rRNA from 1 species